AUAAUUUGGACCACACAACACACACAGUUUAUGUAUAUGUCAAUGGGCUUGGCCCGGGUCUUUAUUUAAAGCUUAAUAGGGGCCAUACCACCAUAACGUAAUAACUGUAACCUUUACAUAAAAUCGUCACCACCUAAUUGCGGGUCAGUCAUAGCUAACCUGACCGACCUCCUUUUAUAUACAACCAUUUACCAACAUAUCCUUCCUCAGAACUUGAACCUGAUGAUGACUUUUGCCCCAAUGCUUCAUAACACCACAACAUUAAUUCUAAAGAAAGUAAAUAGGGGAGGGUGGGGGUCUCUCCGUGCUGAUCCUGACCUCAAGGAAACCGCUGCCAGGGAUUGCGCUUGUGAUGUUGCUCUCUACUGCGCUUGCAUCCCCAGCUAUCUGUCUCACUCUACCCAACAACUUAACCAGGGGUCAUGGACUUUACUUUCCCUAACUAUAGAGCAAGGUCCGCUUAACCCUUUAUUGCCACCAUACAUAUGACCGUGUUUAAUGCCUGUUACAUCUGUUUUUCAUACAACUAACCGCACCACAAC